rnacentral:rRNA from 1 species
GAGUUUGAUCGUGGCUCAGACUGAACGCUGGCGGAAUGCUUUACACAUGCAAGUCGAGCGGCAGCGCGGGGCAACCUGGCGGCGAGCGGCGAACGGGUGAGUAAUGCAUCGGAACAUGUCCAUUCGUGGGGGAUAGCCCGGCGAAAGCCGGAUUAAUACCGCAUACGCCCUGAGGGGGAAAGUGGGGGACCGCAAGGCCUCACGCGAAUGGGUUGGCCGAUGUCCGAUUAGCUAGUUGGUGGGGUAAAGGCUUACCAAGGCGAUGAUCGGUAGCUGGUCUGAGAGGAUGAUCAGCCACACUGGGACUGAGACACGGCCCAGACUCCUACGGGAGGCAGCAGUGGGGAAUUUUGGACAAUGGGGGCAACCCUGAUCCAGCCAUUCCGCGUGAGUGAAGAAGGCC